rnacentral:miRNA from 1 species
AGUAGAUCAAAUCCGUAUAUAUGUAUAUAUAUAUAUAUGUAUGUAUGUAUGUAUGUAUGUAUGUAUAUAUAUAUACAUACAUACAUACAUACAUACAUACAUAUAUAUAUAUAUACAUAUAUACGGAUUUGAUCUACU